UGGGGAAUUUUGGACAAUGGGGGCAACCCUGAUCCAGCCAUGCCGCGUGAGUGAAGAAGGCCUUCGGGUUGUAAAGCUCUUUCAGACGGAAAGAAACGGUCACGGCUAAUACCUGUGGCUAAUGACGGUACCGUCAGAAGAAGCACCGGCUAACUACGUGCCAGCAGCCGCGGUAAUACGUAGGGUGCGAGCGUUAAUCGGAAUUACUGGGCGUAAAGCGUGCGCAGGCGGUUUUGCAAGACAGAUGUGAAAUCCCCGGGCUUAACCUGGGAACUGCAUUUGUGACUGCAAGGCUAGAGUACGGCAGAGGGGGGUAGAAUUCCACGUGUAGCAGUGAAAUGCGUAGAUAUGUGGAGGAAUAUCGAUGGCGAAGGCAGCCCCCUGGGUCGAUACUGACGCUCAUGCACGAAAGCGUGGGGAGCAAACAGGAUUAGAUACCCUGGUAGUCCACGCCCUAAACGAUGUCAACUAGGUGUUGGGGAAGGAGACUUCUUUAGUACCGCAGCUAACGCGAUAAGUUGACCGCCUGGGGAGUACGGUCGCAAGAUUA
rnacentral:rRNA from 1 species